UCUGAAUCUGCGUACGGCUCCGCACACCAGUUGUAAACCAAAGCAAGCAAGCCCGGUCUCGACGCCUUUCGGGGCUAGGGGCCGGGCUACAAGGAUAACCCUGGUAAUUCUGAGGCUAAUACUUGACACGAACCUGCUGACUGGGUCUCGGCUCGGGAGGUGGGGGAUGUGCGACUAUCGGGCCAACGAAACCGGAAAGAGCGCACGUUCAGACCACUUAAAAAGGCUUCGGGGUCCCUCGGGAUCCCGGGGCUGUGGCUCUUGCAGCGUGCUUCUGACCUAUCAACUAGACGGCAGCCUAAGGGACAUGCUUUGGU
rnacentral:rRNA from 4 species